rnacentral:rRNA from 1 species
GACGAACGCUGGCGGCGUGCUUAACACAUGCAAGUCGAACGGAAAGGCCCUGCUUUUGUGGGGUGCUCGAGUGGCGAACGGGUGAGUAACACGUGAGUAACCUGCCCUUGACUUUGGGAUAACUUCAGGAAACUGGGGCUAAUACCGGAUAGGAGCUCCUGCUGCAUGGUGGGGGUUGGAAAGUUUCGGCGGUUGGGGAUGGACUCGCGGCUUAUCAGCUUGUUGGUGGGGUAGUGGCUUACCAAGGCUUUGACGGGUAGCCGGCCUGAGAGGGUGACCGGCCACAUUGGGACUGAGAUACGGCCCAGACUCCUACGGGAGGCAGCAGUGGAGAAUAUUGCACAGUGGGCGGAAGCCUGAUACAGCAACGCCGCGUGCGGGAUGACGGCCUUCGGGUUAUAAACCGCUUUCGCCUGUGACGAAGCGUGAGUGACGGUAAUGGGUAAAGAAGCACCGGCUAACUACGUG